GACGAACGCUGGCGGCGUGCUUAACACAUGCAAGUCGAACGGAAAGGCCCUGCUUUUGUGGGGUGCUCGAGUGGCGAACGGGUGAGUAACACGUGAGUAACCUGCCCUUGACUUUGGGAUAACUUCAGGAAACUGGGGCUAAUACCGGAUAGGAGCUCCUGCUGCAUGGUGGGGGUUGGAAAGUUUCGGCGGUUGGGGAUGGACUCGCGGCUUAUCAGCUUGUUGGUGGGGUAGUGGCUUACCAAGGCUUUGACGGGUAGCCGGCCUGAGAGGGUGACCGGCGACGGUGGGGGGGGGGUGCGGCCAAGGGUGAGGCGGGCGGCGGGGGGGGGGAGGAGGGGGCGGGGGGCGGGAGGGGGCGGACGCGCCGCCGGGGGGGGGGGGACGGGCGUGUGGUUGUAAACCGCUUUCGCGUGUUGGGGGUGGUGGGUGACGGGAAGGGGAAAGGAAGAACCGCGUAAAUACGCGCCCGCGGCGGGGUUAAUUCUCGGAAGGGCACACGUCUGUCC
rnacentral:rRNA from 1 species